rnacentral:lncRNA from 1 species
CGCAUAUGCCCAUGAGAACACAGAUAAGCAUUACAAGACUAAGGACACACCUUGGUCCAUAUACUCUCAAAGAGCUUAUCCAGCUCAGUGUAGUUGGAGUUGUUUAAGCCACUGAAAUAAUCGGUCACAGUGCAACAAUUAGCAGUAUACAAAAUAAUGUUUUUCUAUAUAGUGUAAACAAAAGAUGUCUAUGUCUGACAGUGAAAUAAGUAAACACAAAUAAAAGCAUUAUUUUAUAUCAAGCAGGAACAAAUGAUUCCAGGUAGUAGAAGACACCAACGGCCUUAUUGAUACAUUAUUCCAAUGGGCCAAACGAUGAGUAAAUGACAAUAGUAAGAAGGUUAGGUAAGGUUCUGCUUCAGAUGAUUCAUACCAGUGGGAUGCAAUGUUAAUGAUGAUAAGAACCUUCCCCUUACUUGUAGGUGGUGAGGUCUACGACCGCUCGCAUCCUGCACAUGAGUAGCAAGAAAAAAACAACAAUUAGACUCCUACAAAAACAAAUCCGCUAGGUAAUGGUUAGCAAAUUCAGUCGUUUUGCAAGCCAAUUAAAUUAAUCGACACCAAAAUUCACACUAAGCUCCACACGAAUCAGGAACCACUAAAAGCACCAAGCCUGGACUUAUUAGCACAACACAACGAUCUCGGGCUUGCAGCUGCAGGGCACGCCGCACGCAAAGCAAGCGCUCCAUGCGAAAUAUUUUGGUCCUAUGAUCCUAUUAGUAUAUCACCUCUGGAAUCUACGCAUAGAGACGUUCGAGGGUUGAGAGGGCGACAGGGGGGAAUGGGACUGACCUUGACGACGAAAUCGUGGACAGAGGUGGCGGUUGAGGAGGCGGGCGGGCCUAAUCCGGGUCACUCUUGCGUGUGCGAGCAAAUAGACCGGAUGGGAUCGGAGCCACAAUUCCAGCGAGAUCGACGGGGCUCCGCGGUUGAUGGGGCGGAGACGUCGUCCUCGACGAUCGCGGGGGCUGCGCUUCCGCCGGCGAAUCCGACAUCCAGGGACGUCUUAGGUGAGCGUGUCCGUCGCAGUGAAGACAUACGUCGUGGAGGAUUUGGCGGCAACCUCGUCGUUGGCGGCCUCGGCGGCGGCAGUCGCCUUGUCGUAGGCGCGUCCAGGCGGGGGGAGCUCGAAUGUUUGAUGGGACGGUUCACGGGGCCAGGGGUUGGACAGUGAAAGACACGAGGGACUGCGACUACGUUUUCGCGUGAGAGUACGUGCGUGGAG